AGGCGCGGCUGGGGGUGCGAGGCUGCGCAGGCGCGGACGGCGUUGGUUUGAAGACCUUCAGCGUUGCCCUGGCGGAGCAGAGACAGGCCCUCGGGGUGGAGGUCUUUGGUUUCAUAAGAGCCUGAGAGAGAUUUUUCUAAGGAGUCAAAUUGACUUUAUCAGCUUUAAUCGAUGGGAAGAACUUCAGUGCAGGAGGUCACAAGGUUGGCUUGGGAUUUGAACUGGAAGCUUAAUGUGGUUUGAGGAAAGCAUCAGAUUUGUCCCUGGAAGUGAAGAGAAAUGAACCCACUAUGUUUUGGCCUUAAAAUUCUUCUGUGAAAUUUCAAAAGUGUGAACUUUUUAUUCUUCCAAAGAAUUGUAAUCCUCCCCACACUGAAGUCUAGGGGUUGCGAAUCCCUCCUGAGGGAGAUGCUUGAAGGCAUGCCUGGAAGUUGUCAUGUUUGUGCCACGUUUCAGUUCAGUUCUGAAGUGUUAUUAAAUGUGUUCCUCAGCGACAGUGUAGCGUCAUGUUAGAGGAGACGAUCUGACCCACCAGUUUGUACAUCACGUCCUGCAUGUCCCACACCAUUUUUUCAUGACCUUGUAAUAUACUGGUCUCUGUGCUAUAGUGGAAUCUUUGGUUUUGCAUCAUAGUAAAAUAAAAUAAACCCAUCACAUUUGGAACAU
rnacentral:lncRNA from 1 species